UACGUAGGGGGCAAGCGUUAUCCGGAAUCACUGGGUGUAAAGGGAGCGUAGACGGCUGAGCAAGCCUGAAGUGAAAGGCGGGGGCCCAACCCCGGAACUGCUCUGGAAACUGUGAAGCUGGAGUGCAGGAGAGGUAAGCGGAAUUCCUGGUGUAGCGGUGAAAUGCGUAGAUAUUAGGAGGAACACCAGUGGCGAAGGCGGCUUACUGGACUGUAACUGACGUUGAGGCUCGAAAGCGUGGGGAGCAAACAGG
rnacentral:rRNA from 1 species